rnacentral:rRNA from 1 species
GACGAACGCUGGCGGCGUGGAUUAGGCAUGCAAGUCGAACGGUAUCAUCCUUUCGGGGGUGAGAGAGUGGCGAACUGGUGAGUAACACGUAGGUUAUCUACCCUCAAGACGGGGACAACCCAGGGAAACUUGGGCUAAUACCGGAUGUGAGCAACUUUUAGUUGUUUGAAAGGUGGCGUAAGCUGUCGCUUGGGGAUGAGCCUGCGUCCUAUUAGUUAGUUGGUGAGGUAACGGCUCACCUAGGCAAUGAUAGGUAGGCGGCCUUAACGGGUGGUCGCCCACACUGGGAUUGAGAUACGGCCCAGACUCCUACGGGAGGCAGCAGUCGAGAAUAGUCUACAAUGGUUGGAAGACUGAUAGUGCGACGCCGCGUGAACGAAGAAGCCCUUCGGGGUGUAAAGUUCUUUUAUAUGUGAGCAGUGCUUUCUAUGUGAACAGCAUGGGGAGAGAGAUAUUAGCAUAUGAAAUAAGCAACGGCUAACUCCGUGCCAGCAGCCCGCGGU